rnacentral:rRNA from 1 species
GAUCAUGGCUCAGAUUGAACGCUGGCGGCAGGCCUAACACAUGCAAGUCGAACGGUAACAGGAAGCAGCUUGCUGCUUUGCUGACGAGUGGCGGACGGGUGAGUAAUGUCUGGGAAACUGCCUGAUGGAGGGGGAUAACUACUGGAAACGGUAGCUAAUACCGCAUAACGUCGCAAGACCAAAGAGGGGGGACCUUCGGGCCGUCUUGCCCAUCGGAGUGUGGCCCACGAUGGGAUUAG